rnacentral:rRNA from 3 species
UACUGUGAAACUGCGAAUGGCUCAUUAAAUCAGUUAUAGUUUAUUUGAUGGUACAUUGCUACAUGGAUAACUGUGGUAAUUCUAGAGCUAAUACAUGCAAUCAAGCCCCGACUUCCGGAAGGGGUGUAUUUAUUAGAUAAAAAACCAACGCGGUUCGCCGCUCCCUUGGUGAUUCAUAAUAACUUCUCGAAUCGCAUGGCCUUGCGCCGGCGAUGCUUCAUUCAAAUAUCUGCCCUAUCAACUUUCGAUGGUAGGAUAGUGGCCUACCAUGGUUUCAACGGGUAACGGGGAAUAAGGGUUCGAUUCCGGAGAGGGAGCCUGAGAAACGGCUACCACAUCCAAGGAAGGCAGCAGGCGCGCAAAUUACCCAAUCCCGACACGGGGAGGUAGUGACAAUAAAUAACAAUAUAGGGCUCUUUUGGGUCUUAUAAUUGGAAUGAGUACAAUUUAAAUCCCUUAACGAGGAACAAUUGGAGGGCAAGUCUGGUGCCAGCAGCCGCGGUAAUUCCAGCUCCAAUAGCGUAUAUUAAAGUUGUUGCAGUUAAAAAGCUCGUAGUUGAACUUCAGACCUGGCCGGGCGGUCUGCCUCACGGUAUGUACUGUCUGGCCGGGUCUUACCUCUUGGUGAGCCGGCAUGCCCUUUACUGGGUGUGUCGGGGAACCAGGACCUUUACCUUGAGAAAAUUAGAGUGUUCAAAGCAGGCCUAUGCCCGAAUACAUUAGCAUGGAAUAAUAAAAUAGGACGUGCGGUUCUAUUUUGUUGGUUUCUAGAGUCGCCGUAAUGAUUAAUAGGGAUAGUUGGGGGCAUUAGUAUUCAGUUGCUAGAGGUGAAAUUCUUGGAUUUACUGAAGACUAACUAUUGCGAAAGCAUUUGCCAAGGAUGUUUUCAUUAAUCAAGAACGAAGGUUAGGGGAUCGAAAACGAUCAGAUACCGUUGUAGUCUUAACAGUAAACUAUGCCGACUAGGGAUCGGGCGACCUCACUUUUAUGUGUCGCUCGGCACCUUACGAGAAAUCAAAGU